UGCACGGUGGCGCAGUCGGUAGCACGAAGGUCCUGGGUUCAAUUCCCAGCUGGGGGUCUUUCUGCAU